GCAUAUCAAUAAGCGGAGGAAAAGAAACCAACAGGGAUUGCCCCAGUAACGGCGAGUGAAGCGGCAACAGCUCAAAUUUGAAAUCUGGCCCCUUGGGGUCCGAGUUGUAAUUUGUAGAGGAUGCUUUUGGUGAGGUGCCGCCCGAGUUCCCUGGAACGGGACGCCACAGAGGGUGAGAGCCCCGUCUGGCUGGCCACCGAGCCUCUGUAAAGCUCCUUCGACGAGUCGAGUAGUUUGGGAAUGCUGCUCAAAAUGGGAGGUAUAUGUCUUCUAAAGCUAAAUAUUGGCCAGAGACCGAUAGCGCACAAGUAGAGUGAUCGAAAGAUGAAAAGCACCUUGAAAAGAGGGUUAAAUAGUACGUGAAAUUGUUGAAAGGGAAGCGCUUGUGACCAGACUUGGGCGCGGCGGAUCAUCCGGGGUUCUCUCCGGUGCACUUCGCCGCGUUCAGGCCAGCAUCAGUUCGUCGCGGGGGACAAAGGCUUCGGGAACGUGGCUCCUCCGGGAGUGUUAUAGCCCGUUGCAUAAUACCCUGCGGUGGACUGAGGACCGCGCAUCUGCAAGGAUGCUGGCGUAAUGGUCACCAGCGACCCGUCUUGAAACACGGACCAAGGAGUCGUCUUCGUAUGCGAGUGUUCGGGUGUCAAACCCCUACGCGUAAUGAAAGUGAACGCAGGUGAGAGCUUCGGCGCAUCAUCGACCGAUCCUGAUGUUCUCGGAUGGAUUUGAGUAAGAGCAUACGGGGCCGGACCCGAAAGAAGGUGAACUAUGCCUGUAUAGGGUGAAGCCAGAGGAAACUCUGGUGGAGGCUCGCAGCGGUUCUGACGUGCAAAUCGAUCGUCAAAUAUGGGCAUGGGGGGCGAAAGACUAAUCGAACCUUCUAGUAGCUGGGUUUCCGCCGAAG
rnacentral:rRNA from 1 species